rnacentral:rRNA from 1 species
AGUGAACGCUGGCGGUAGGCCUAACACAUGCCAGUCGAACGGCAGCACAGUAGGAGCUUGCUCUUACGGGUGGCGAGUGGCGGACGGGUGAGGAAUACAUCGGAAUCUACUUUUUCGGGGGGGAUAACGGAGGAAAACUGACGCUAAUACCGCAUACGACCUACGGGUGAAAGCAGGGGAUCUUCGGACCUUGCGCGAUUGAAUGAGCCGAUGUCGGAUUAGCUAGUUGGCGGGGUAAGGGCCCACCAAGGCGACGAUCCGUAGCUGGUCUGAGAGGAUGAUCAGCCACACUGGAACUGAGACACGGUCCAGACUCCUACGGGAGGCAGCAGUGGGGAAUAUUGGACAAUGGGCGCAAGCCUGACCCAGCCAUACCGCGUGGGUGAAGAAGGCCUUCGGGUUGUAAAGCCCUUUUGUUGGGAAAGAAAAGCAGCAGGUUAAUACCCCGCUGUUCUGACGGUACCCAAAGAAUAAGCACCGGCUAACUUCGUG